GAACGCUGGCGGCGUGCUUACCACAUGCAAGUCGACCGCUGAAGCUUGGUGCUUGCACUGGGUGGAUGAGUAGCGAACGGGUGAGUAAUACGUGAGUAACCUGCCCUUGACUCUGGGAUAAGCCUGGGAAACUGGGUCUAAUACUGGAUACGACAUGUCACCGCAUGGUGGUGUGUGGAAAGGGUUUUACUGGUUUUGGAUGGGCUCACGGCCUAUCAGCUUGUUGGUGGGGUAAUGGCUCACCAAGGCGACGACGGGUAGCCGGCCUGAGAGGGUGACCGGCCACACUGGGACUGAGACACGGCCCAGACUCCUACGGGAGGCAGCAGUGGGGAAUAUUGCACAAUGGGCGGAAGCCUGAUGCAGCGACGCCGCGUGAGGGAUGACGGCCUUCGGGUUGUAAACCUCUUUCAGCACGGAAGAAGCGAAAGUGACGGUACGUGCAGAAGAAGCGCCGGCUAACUACGUG
rnacentral:rRNA from 1 species